UUUAUAGAUGGCAAGUGUUGCUUAGACCUAAAGUAUUCUUUAAUUGUGAAGAAAACAAACAUAAGGGUGUUCGGCAAUUCAUAACUAUUAACUGUGAUUGCAUUGUGUAUUUUUAAAAUCAUUCUUUGGUAUGCUUCAAACUCAAAAGUAUUUAUGAAAACAUUGACUAUAUUUAUCCAGAUGUAUGAAAUGUUUAUCAAAGUAUAAAUUCCAUUUUAGCAUGUUAUCUUCAAAAUGAGGGACCUGUCAACUUUUACAAUUCCAAGAUCAGGAAAUAAUUCAUGAGCAGCAACAUGCUACUGGGAGAAAGGAAAACAGUAGAAGACUGCCUGCAUGAGAAUAAAAGUUUUGGACUCUGAAAAGGAAUAUGUGACAGAAUAUAUAUUUGGACAGUUGUUGAUUUCCACAGAAACGCAUGUCGAGUAACAAAAAAGUGGAGCACAGUUUCAUGUCAAUUCAAAUCUUUAAAUUCAAGGAUGAACAAUUGGUUCUUUAUAAAACAAAAUGACAUGUUUGAAAAGGAUUUUAGUGCAAUGUACUCUGUCCUGGAUACUUAUCUAUGUGUAUGGGAUUUGCAGGAUAGACUAUGUACAACAGAUACUGUCAAGAAAUUUGAUGUUGUUGAUUAUAUGUUUGUAUAAAAAUGUUUAGUAUAGUAAUAAACAAAGUUUAAGUCAA